AUUGAACGCUAGCGGCAGGCCUAAUACAUGCGAGUCGAACGGUGUCUUCGGACAUAGUGGCGCACGGGUGCGUAACACGUAUGCAACCUACCUUACAUUGGGGGAUAGCCUUUCGAAAGGGAGAUUAAUACCGCAUAAGACAGUAGCUGGGCAUCCAGCAGCUGUUAAAGAUUUAUCGAUGUAAGCUGGGCAUGCGUCCAAUUAGCUAGUUGGUGAGGUAACGGCUCACCAAGGCAAUGAUUGGUAGGGGAACUGAGAGGUCAAUCCCCCACACUGGCACUGAGAUACGGGCCAGACUCCUACGGGAGGCAGCGGUAGGGAAUAUUGGGCAAUGGACGCAAGUCUGACCCAGCCAUGCCGCGUGCAGGAUGAAGGCGUUAUGCGUUGUAAACUGCUUUUAUACAGGAAGAAACGACUCUUGCGAGAGGCAUUGACGGUACUGUAUGAAUAAGCACCGGCUAACUCCGUGCCAGCCGCCGCGGUAAAAC
rnacentral:rRNA from 1 species